UACGUAGGGGGCGAGCGUUGUCCGGAAUCAUUGGGCGUAAAGAGCUCGUAGGCGGCUUAGCAAGUCGGGUGUGAAACCCCCAGGCUCAACCUGGGGACGCCACCCGAUACUGCUAUAGCUAGAGUCCAGUAGGGGAGUGUGGAAUUCCCGGUGUAGCGGUGAAAUGCGCAGAUAUCGGGAGGAACACCAGCGGCGAAGGCGGCACUCUGGGCUGGUACUGACGCUGAGGAGCGAAAGCGUGGGUAGCGAACAGGAUUAGAAACCCCCGUAGUCC
rnacentral:rRNA from 1 species